rnacentral:tRNA from 1 species
UGGGGUGAAGCUCAGUGGUAGAGUGUGUGCUUAGCAUACACAAAGCUCUGGGUUCAAUUCCUAGCACUCAAA